UUAAAAUUCUGUAUCCAGUCAAAUUCGUUCGCAUAAUUCUGCAUCUCAUCAGCUGUGGAAGAAAAAUGGCCGGCGGAGGAGAUCACGCCCAUGGACAUGGUGUGGACUUCAGGACUAAGGUCUGGAGCAUGAGUGGUGGGCCCUACUGUAGGCCCAAGCAUUGGCAGCGUAACACUGCCAUUGCUCUCGCUGGAAUCGUCCUCAUAUGUAUCCCUGUCGCCUUGAAAUCCGCCGAACUCGAGCAAAGGCCACAUCAUCCAGUACGGCCCAUUCCUUCUCAACUCUGGUGCAAGAAUUUUGGAACAAAAGAUUACUAGUCUUGUUACGAAGCAACAAUUGUGGUUAGCUGUGGUUGAUCAUUUUCCCUUAUAUAUUUGGAUGCUAAAAUUGUGUGCUUCAUUUCAUGAUACUUAUCAUUUGUACAAGUGUGACAACAUGAUAAAGAUAUUCCAUUGAAUAAGAAACACUUAUACUUACUCUGUUA